AUUGAACGCUGGCGGCAUGCUUUACACAUGCAAGUCGAACGGUAACAGGCCUUCGGGUGCUGACGAGUGGCGAACGGGUGAGUAAUGCAUCGGAACGUGCCCAGAGGUGGGGGAUAACGCAGCGAAAGCUGUGCUAAUACCGCAUGUGAUCUGAGGAUGAAAGCGGGGGACCAGGCAGCAAUGUUUGGCCUCGCGCCUUUGGAGCGGCCGAUGUCAGAUUAGGUAGUUGGUGGGGUAAAGGCCUACCAAGCCGACGAUCUGUAGCUGGUCUGAGAGGACGACCAGCCACACUGGGACUGAGACACGGCCCAGACUCCUACGGGAGGAAGCAGUGGGGAAUUUUGGACAAUGGGCGCAAGCCUGAUCCAGCAAUGCCGCGUGCGGGAAGAAGGCCUUCGGGUUGUAAACCGCUUUUGUACGGAACGAAAAGGCUCUGGCUAAUACCUGGGGAUGAUGACGGUACCGGAAGAAUAAGCACCGGCUAACUACGUG
rnacentral:rRNA from 1 species